rnacentral:rRNA from 1 species
GGACGAACGGCUGGCGGCGCGCCUAACACAUGCAAGUCGAACGAGCGAGAGAGAGCUUGCUUUCUCGAGCGAGUGGCGAACGGGUGAGUAACGCGUGAGGAACCUGCCUCAAAGAGGGGGACAACAGUUGGAAACGACUGCUAAUACCGCAUAAGCCCACGGCUCGGCAUCGAGCAGAGGGAAAAGGAGCAAUCCGCUUUGAGAUGGCCUCGCGUCCGAUUAGCUAGUUGGUGAGGUAACGGCCCACCAAGGCGACGAUCGGUAGCCGGACUGAGAGGUUUGAACGGCCACAUUGGGACUGAGACACGGCCCAGACUCCUACGGGAGGCAGCAGUGGGGAAUAUUGCACAAUGGGGGAAACCCUGAUGCAGCGACGCCGCGUGGAGGAAGAAGGUCUUCGGAUUGUAAACUCCUGUUGUUGAGGAAGAUAAUGACGGUACUCAACAAGGAAGUGACGGCUAACUACGUG